rnacentral:snRNA from 1 species
GGAUGUGAGGGGGAUCUGGCUGCGACAUCUGUCACCCCAUGGAUCACCGGGGUUGAUUGGGCAGAUCUGGCUGGCUAGGCGGGUGUCCCCUUCCGCCCUCACGGCUCCAUGUGCGUCCUCCCUGAGGCUGCGCCCUCGGUUGAAGAGGACGGCCUUCCCUGUUAGAGGAGGACCGUUCUUCUGUCAAGAGUAUACGAGUAGCCGGGCUCCCCUUGCUAGAACCUCCGAACAAGCUCUCAACGUCCGUUUGUAGGAGAACGUGAAGUAGGCAAGUUUCCAAGACCCCAGACAUAUUAAAAAGAAAAAAAAAAUUU